AAAGGCUUAGUUGAGUUAAGUUGAUGCUCUAGCCUUUAGCCUUAAAAAGGAAUAGUGAUCCUUAUCCUUGCUCAGCCAACUAGGCCUUGCCUUCAUUGUUCUUGUCCGAGUACAACCAACUAGACAAUGACUUAGGUUGACUCAAACAAAGUUGCCCCAGUGCAUCCUUGUCCAUGGUAGUCGAAGAAAGCACUCUUUACUUGCUAAGAUGCUAUCCUUUUUGACAAUUGAAAUCUCAUAAGUAGUCACAUGCAACCUUGGAUGUAUGAUUUAGAAGUCAUUUCAACAAAAAAAGUAUCGAGUAAAUGAGGCAAGUGCCUCAAUCCAAGGACUCACCUAGGAAAUGCCAAGGUGAAGCUGCCAUACCUGGACCAAGGAUAGGUCCUUAGACUGUGCCUGACUUGCCUUUGAUCACAUUGCUCCUAACUUCGUUUGAAUAGGCAGGGCUCAAGUGUGUGUCUCACUUUAAGAGUCUUAUUUUAAUGGGACCUCUAUUAAUGACUCAGAAGACUUUUAAUAGUCUAAUCUUUUAAAGUUUUAUAUUUGAAGUACAUCCUAGAUAACCCUAUAUAUCCAUGUAACCUCUUUUGGUCAUUCAUGAUUAUAGGUAUAGCUUUUUGAAAAGGAAUAAAUAUGGUUUUUACCAUGACUUCGCAAUGUAUUCGCAAUGUCUCUUCAAACUUCAAAAGUAUAUGACUAAAUCCUUCAACUUCAUUUUUGUUCAAUGGUAGCCUUUAUCAUUAUUCAUUAGUGCAAUCUAAUUACAUUAGCACGGCAAUUGAGAUUCUGCCACGACUCAAAUUUAGGGCCCAAGAACAGAAUGGAUUGAAUUAAGUAAUAUAAGGUUGUAAAACAAAAUAUUAAAUUUUAAGUAAUUAAUAUCAUAAAUUUUAAAUUGAAGGAGACAGUGCAAAAAUAUUAUAUUUUGGGCACUAAAAU
rnacentral:misc_RNA from 1 species